GCAGCCGCGGUAAUACGGAGGAUCCAAGCGUUAUCCGGAUUUAUUGGGUUUAAAGGGUGCGUAGGCGGUUUGAUAAGUUAGAGGUGAAAUCUCGGGGCUCAACUCCGGAACUGCCUCUAAUACUGUUGAACUAGAGAGUAGUUGCGGUAGGCGGAAUGUAUGGUGUAGCGGUGAAAUGCGUAGAGAUCAUACAGAACACCGAUUGCGAAGGCAGCUUACCAAACUAUAUCUGACGUUGAGGCACGAAAGCGUGGGUAGCAAACAGGAUUAGAUACCCC
rnacentral:rRNA from 1 species